rnacentral:rRNA from 1 species
GACGAACGCUGGCGGCGUGCUUAACACAUGCAAGUCGAACGGAAAGGCCCUGCUUUUGUGGGGUGCUCGAGUGGCGAACGGGUGAGUAACACGUGAGUAACCUGCCCUUGACUUUGGGAUAACUUCAGGAAACUGGGGCUAAUACCGGAUAGGAGCUCCUGCUGCAUGGUGGGGGUUGGAAAGUUUCGGCGGUUGGGGAUGGACUCGCGGCUUAUCAGCUUGUUGGUGGGGUAGUGGCUUACCAAGGCUUUGACGGGUAGCCGGCCUGAGAGGGUGACCGGCCACAUUGGGACUGAGAUACGGCCCAGACUCCUACGGGAGGCAGCAGUGGGGAAUAUUGCACAAUGGGCGGAAGCCUGAUGCAGCAACGCCGCGUGCGGGAUGACGGCCUUCGGGUUGUAAACCGCUUUCGCCUGUGACGAAGCGUGAGUGACGGUAAUGGGUAAAGAAGCACCGGCUAACUACGUGCCAGCAGCCGCGGUGAUACGUAGGGUGCGAGCGUUGUCCGGAUUUAUUGGGCGUAAAGGGAGCGCAGGUGGUUGAUCGCGUCUGAUGUGAAAGCCCACGGCUUAACCGUGGAGGGUCAUUGGAAACUGGGGAACUUGAGUGCAGAAGAGGAAAGCGGAAUUCCAUGUGUAGCGGUGAAAUGCGUAGAUAUAUGGAGGAACACCAGUGGCGAAAGCGGCUUUCUGGUCUGUAACUGACACUGAGGCUCGAAAGCGUGGGGAGCGAACAGGAUUAGAUACCCUGGUAGUCCACGCCGUAAACGAUGAGUGCUAAGUGUUGGAGGGUUUCCACCCUUCAGUGCUGGCGUUAACGCAAUAAGCACUCCGCCUGGGAGUACGACCGCAAGGUUGAAACUCAAAGGAAUUGACGGGGACCCGCACAAGCGGUGGAGCAUGUGGUUUAAUUCGAAGCAACGCGAAGAACCUUACCAGGUCUUGACAUCUCUUGCAUAUCUUAGAGAUAAGAGAAACCCUUCGGGGCAAGAAGACAGGUGGUGCAUGGUUGUCGUCAGCUCGUGUCGUGAGAUGUUGGGUUAAGUCCCGCAACGAGCGCAACCCUUAUAACUAGUUGCCAGCAUUCAGAUGGGGACUCUAGUUAGACUGCCGGUGACAAACCGGAGGAAGGUGGGGAUGACGUCAAAUCAUCAUGCCCCUUAUGACCUGGGCUACACACGUGCUACAAUGGAUGGUACAACGAGUCGCUAACUCGCAAGAGCAUGCCAAUCUCUAAAAGCCAUUCUCAGUUCGGAUUGUAGUCUGCAACUCGACUACAUGAAGCCGGAAUCGCUAGUAAUCGCGGAUCAGCACGCCGCGGUGAAUACGUUCCCGGGUCU